AGCGCCCGGCAGCGGGCCAAGCGGCACCGCAAGCCCCGCUGCUGCUGCGGCAGCGCCGGCGGAGCGACACGCACCCGGGUGUCCGGGCCUCCCUCUCCUUCCUUGGGAGCCGCGAUGUGAUGCAAGCAGAACAGGGCACCCGAACAGACUUUCCAACCCGCCCGACAUGGAGGCGGAGCGGGAAGGCGCGGGGCUGCUGCUCCGAGGCCCAGGGUGUGCACUGGCCUCCCUAGCAAUGGCUGAGGCCACCGGGACAGUAAAGUUACCCACAGGGAAGAUGAUGGUCUGUGAUUUGGUCAGACGGUGUGUGCCCUCCCUACAGUGAGCUUGCCUGUUCUUCCCAAAGGAAAUCCCCACCGCAGCGGGAUACAAAAGACACCUGGGGAAUGUCAGGUUCCAUUACUGCCACUGACUUUUGAACUGGCACAGAGCUUAACAAGGCUAAGCAUAAGCAUGCAAUUACUAUGGACAUAUGUCUACCCUGUGAACUCAUCUGGAUGAUUCAGCAACUUGGAUUGUAGAGUAAGGAUGCAGAAAAAUUUACAGCAACAUAGUUUAGUAUGCAUUUUCCUCUGAACUCUGUUUAUUUGCCUCAUGUGUUAGGGCUGCUGCUGAAAUGCCUCUAACUGAAUUAGCAUUUUUGGGAAACCCCAAACAUUGGAAUAUGAGACUUCUAGAUGUGGCACGUAAGCUCUGGGGGAGACCAGCUCUCACCAUGCCUUGCAAAGUAUCUCACUCUAAAUAUGAGGCCAGUUUUGGCCACCUAAGUCCUAACAGUGCUGAGCAGCUUAGCACGUAGCUCACCUCCUAAGCCUCAGCGGAUUCACAAACUAUACAUUCCAUCACCUAUCUCACCUGUAAGACAUGGGCUGGUAGGCAUGCUCAGAGUCUGCCUCACAGUAUGCCUACCAGAUUGCCCUGCCCAAAUGCUGGUGGUGGUGGUACCACCAUCCCCUUUAUAUCCAAUGGCUCAGCAAUUAGAGCAGGGGUCUCAAAGUCCCAGCCCGCGGGCCAUCUGCGGCCCAAGAAACUCCACACUGCAGCCCAUGGAAACUUUUUAAAAAGUUCCUUUCAUCCAGCCCUCGUGGCUGCCAGCUGAGGGGGGAAGGGGAGGGGCAGGAGGGGAGCAGGCAGGAGAGAUGCAGCCACACUGCCGGCUCUGUCUGCUGCAGUUGCCGCCCACCACAGCUCCCGUUGGCUGCGGGAGAGGGACAGAGAUACCAUCACUAGUCACCGGGCAGAGUCAGCCAUGGAGCAGCAUCAUUAGUUGCCAGGCAGAGUCAGCCAUGGCAGCAGUGUCACUAGUCACCAGGCAAAGUCAGCCAGGGCAGCAUGAGGCCUCCUCCUCAGCCGCUUUUGUGCCCAAGGAGGCCCAGCCCCGCAAGGUCCUGCUGUCAGCGGAGCGUGGAGUGUGGGAAAGUGGACUGAACACAACUCUCUAAUGCCCACCUUGCUGCAGUCCUGAAGGUUUCAACUGCUCAGUCACUGAGGCCAAACAUCAACAAACUGACAGAACUGAAGUGUUGCCAGGUGUCUGGCCAACACUAAAAACUCUCUGGCAAACGAAGAAUUGUAUAAAGUUGUAUGACAGUCUUAUUAUUUCUAAGAAAUUUGAAAUAAAAA